UCCGAGUUGACCCCGGCAGUCUCCUACGAGUCCCCGGCAUUACCCGCUGGCAACAUAGGACAAGGGUUGCGCUCGUUGCGGGACUUAACCCAACAUCUCACGACACGAGCUGACGACAGCCAUGCAGCACCUGUCUUGGGACUCCGAAGAGGGCCCGUGGUUUCUCACGGGUUUCCCCAAGAUGUCAAGCCCAGGUAAGGUUCUUCGCGUUGCGUCGAAUUAAACCACAUGCUCCACCGCUUGUGCGGGUCCCCGUCAAUUCCUUUGAGUUUUAACCUUGCGAUCGUACUUCCCAGGUGGAAUACUUAAUGCGUUAGCUUGGACACUGAUCCCGCAAGCGGGACCAACAUCUAGUAUUCAUCGUUUAGGGCGUGGACUAC
rnacentral:misc_RNA from 1 species